rnacentral:rRNA from 1 species
UACGUAGGUGGCAAGCGUUGUCCGGAUUUACUGGGCGUAAAGAGCGCGCAGGCGGUCGUGCCAGUCGCGUGUGAAAGCCCCCGGCUCAACUGGGGAGGGUCACGCGAUACUGCUCGACUUGAAGGCAGGAGAGGGAAGCGGAAUUCCCGGUGUAGUGGUGAAAUGCGUAGAUAUCGGGAGGAACACCAGUGGCGAAGGCGGCUUCCUGGCCUGUUCUUGACGCUGAGGCGCGAAAGCUAGGGUAGCAAACGGG